rnacentral:tRNA from 2 species
GGCAACUUGGCCGAGCGGUCUAAGGCGCCAGACUCAAGAAACGAAGUUCCACUUCCCGAUCUUCCCUUCAGCGGGGCGUAUUCUGGUCUCGAAAGAGGCGUGAGUUCGAAUCUCACAGUUGUCA